GAUUCCUGGAUGAUGCCUCGGUACUAUCGCGGUUGAUCCAGCUCCGACGGAUUCCUGAGAACAGACGAUGGAUUAUUGCACACGGAUGAAUACUGACAUACCCGAACCACACUUCCCGACACAAUUCCCCGGGCCAAUGUUCACACCGAUCUUUUGUAUCCAGAAUUUAGUUGGACUCUGCGAGGUUAUUUUCCAAACGUUGAUAUAUUGCUAUGCAGGGA